rnacentral:rRNA from 1 species
GACGAACCGUGCGAACGUUGUUCGGAUUCACUGGGCUUAAAGGGCGCGUAGGCGGCUUGCCAAGUCCGGGGUGAAAUCUUUCGGCUCAACCGGAAAAGUGCCUUGGAUACUGGCAGGCUCGAGGGAGGUAGGGGUUUGUGGAACUUCUGGUGGAGCGGUGAAAUGCGUUGAUAUCAGAAGGAACGCCGGUGGCGAAAGCGACGAACUGGACCUCUUCUGACGCUGAGGCGCGAAAGCUAGGGGAGCAAACGGG